rnacentral:lncRNA from 1 species
UGAGCUGAGGUCCCUGUUUUCGCUGUGGAUUUUGUGCUCAGCCGCGCACCGAACCCGUAUACUUUACAAAUGCUUCGUCAAGCGACUGACUGAGCGGUUCGUCUUCGAAAUGAAUACUUGCGAUAAAUCCUCCCGCAAGCAGAUGAAGCGCUGGCUGAGAUGUGCUAAAAGGAUGCAAGUGAGCUAUCUGCCGCACAGCUCCUUCGCCUUGGACCUAGCGCUGCCUCUGGGCUUGCUGGACUACUCCACCAACUACCUUCUCAUCAUUGUGCAGGGAUAUCCCCUCGUUAUGCAAAAUGUUCCGCUCGUCGUAAUGGAAUAAAAUGAGGCUUAAAAUAUCAAAAAAGGCAAGGAGAAAAUUUUAAGAAGAUUUUAGAUUAAGUCUCAAAAGAUACGAGAUGGCGUUAAUUUUCCGUAAAAACCGAUUAUUUACAAAAACAGAAUAAAUAGUCCUUUACUAGUUUAUAAAAUUAAUCCUUGGUCAAUAACAAUUACGGUUGUCUACUUCUGCAGACUGCAGAUACUUUUAGAGGGAUAUAAAAUGUGUGACAAGGGGCAGGAGCGAUCUAAGUUACGCGACGUAACAUUUAUAAUUUUGUAUGUGUUUAUAGAAAUAAAAUAUAUGUCUAAAUAUAAUUGAAAAAGCAUGCUUUUAAAAUGAGACGACAAGUUCGUUUAUUAAUUCUAAAUUUAUAAAAGCAAAAAGCACUAAUCACGAAAUUUCGAA